GAGACCCGCAUCCCCCGUUGCUAUCAGCCAUGAGCUGAGCACACUGGGGAGACCGCCGCCGAUAAGGCGGAGGAAGGAGCGGGCCACGGCAGGUCAGUAUGCCCCGAAUCUCCCGGGCCACACGCGAGCUGCAAUGGUAGGUACAAUGGGUUCCGACCUCGAAAGGGGAAGGAAAUCUCUAAAACCUGCCGUAGUUGGGAUCGAGGGUUGAAACCCACCCUCGUGAACAUGGAAUCCCUAGUAAUCGCGUGUCACUAGCGCGCGGUGAAUAC
rnacentral:rRNA from 1 species